rnacentral:tRNA from 3 species
GCCGGAAUAGCUCAGUUGGUAGAGCAGAGGACU